GACUGCAGGCACUAUGAAGGUGCAGAGUGAGACAUGGAGUUGCCUUGUCUUCUCAUCCCGAAAGGAAUUACCUUGAGUGGUGGGUGAUGAAGGGAUGUUUUCUUGCCAGCAUGCUUUCUCAUCUUCUUCCCACUUGUUUCAGGAAUCAGGUGAGAGCACUAUGUCCCCUGUUGUGAUUGUUGUCGCAAUUUUAUGGUGUUUUCUAAUUGAAUAGUAGAGCAUAUCUGUUGAAUUUAAUUUGAGUCAGUAUAAUGACUAAUGUUGUGUCCAUCCGUUUGAUUCAUGCUAGAAGCUUAUGCAUUUGGUAAAUAGGCACCAGACCACCUGAAUGCAUUAACCAGAGCGAAAGUUGUAUAGGGGCACACAAGCAUGAAGCAUGUGACCUUCUCACUAAGCAUGUGAGGACAGGUAUUGCUUCCAAGACAUAGCAACGAUCUUGUCACUACGUUCUUUAAACAUACAAGUCCAAACAGUGCGGUUAGGGUGCAAACAACAUAGUCCAUGCAAUCCACAUUCCUGAACACUUUGCAGUUGUGGGCAUUUCAAAUUUCCAAGAAGUGGCACUGAGAGUUGUUUCUGCAAAACAAUUUAGCCUUAUUGAGAUUGUCCUUGAUGAGCCACCUGAAUAUCACAGAUGGGGGCAUAUUGGAUGGAGGAGAAGUCGUGUUAGUGGGCUUCGACAAUAGGUUAUUAGAGAACAUGGGUGACGAUGACGAAGAGUUGGGGACAAGGUCUCGCCCUCAUGAUGAAGGCCAUUUCUGCAGCCAAUCUAAUCUCUGAGGAUACUGUUGAGAAGGAUUGAGGUUUUUGCCCAUGCAAAGGAUGACUUCGAUCUAGGCACGCCAUUUAGGUGCGAAGCUGUGGUGAUGAAGAAUUAGAAGGAGAGACAGCCAAGAGAAUUUUUUUCCAAAAAGGAGGAAAACCCCCAGUCUCUGCAUCGAUUGAUGCACAGAAAUUAUUUAUAUUAUUAAAACAAUGACAAGCAUUCAAACCGAUCGACUUACAAAAAAAAACCCGGGGCCAUCCACAUUGGACCUGCCUCACGGUUGCAUCUCCACUAUGUUGCAGAUAAGUUGGGGGACAAGGUGUUGCCUUCGCGACAAAGGCUAUUUCUGCAGCCGAUCCAAUCUCCGGGGAUACUGUUGAGAUGUAUUGAGGUUUUUUCCCAUGCAAAGGAUGACUUAGAUCUAGGCACGUGUUUGAACAAGUUUUUUUUUCUCAAUUUCGCUUUUUUUCGCGAGGGAACAAGAGAACCAGUUUUCCGGAAAAUCUUAAAAUUUAGGUAUUUUUCCGCUCAAAACUUUCAAGUGAAUUUUGAAUUAAAAAACUUAGUGCAAAAAUAUAUUUCAUCUCGACCCUGGGAUGUCGAGGUGAUGAUUCGCACACAUUAUCACCUGGACUAAAGCAAUUAUGUGAAAACAUUUAGGUGGGAACCUGUGGUGGUGAAGAAUUAGAAGGACAGGUGGCCAAGAGAAUUUAUUUCUGGAAAAGAGGGAAACCCUCGGCCCCUGCAUCAAUUGAUGCAAACAUUUUAUUUAUUAUUAAACACAAUGGCAAGCAUUACAACUGAUCGACUUACACAAAAAGAAAGAAAAACCCGAGGCCAUCCACAUUGAACCUGCCUCACAGUUGCAUCUCCACCAUACUAGCACCAACCCUAUGACCAUGGACCAUAAUCCACCGGUCGAGGAAUCAGAGGACUUUGUGAAACUUAUCUGCAAUAGCCAAUAACUGCCAGCCAUUACCAGUUACCUUAUUACAACUCAGUUGCCUUUGUUUCUUUUAAUGGCCUGAAAUCAGUAGAAAUAGAUUUGACCUGUUUAUCUCAGUCAUCCCAAGAGCAGUGCUUCUCUUUCAAGCAAUAACACUUCUAAUCUUCAUUUGCAGGCUGCAUUCUUUUCUGUAAGAGAUGUUUGGAACUUCUUAUAUGGAUAGGUUUCUUCGUAGUGCACUCUUAUUACUCUGUAGUUCUAUAUGCUUGGGGAUAACUCGCCCCUCCUUUUAUUACUCUCUAGUUUGCCAUCUUAUACCAACACCAAAAAUGUAUGUGCAUGUUUUAGUACAUUGCACAAUCGUGGAACUCUAUAAGAUGCACGGGCUGUCAUGCAUAUUCUAUACCGUACUUGUAAAU
rnacentral:lncRNA from 1 species